rnacentral:rRNA from 1 species
AUUUUUGACAAUGGGCGCAAGCCUGAUCCAGCCAUGCCGCGUGAGUGAAGAAGGCCUUCGGGUUGUAAAGCUCUUUCGGACGGAAAGAAAUCGCGGAGGCUAAUACCCUGCGCGGAUGACGGUAUCGUCAUAAGAAGCACCGGCUAACUACGUGCCCGCAGGCGCGGUAAGACGUAGGGUGCGAGCGGUAAUCGGAAAUACUGGGCGUAAAGCGUGGGGAGGCGGUUGAUUAAGACUGGAGGGAAAUCCGGGCUUAACCUGGGAACUGCGCUUGUGACUGGUCAGCUAGAGUACGGCAGAGGGGGGUGGAAGUCCACGUGUAGCAGUGAAAUGAGUAGAGAUGUGGAGGAACACCGAUGGCGAAGGCAGCCCCCUGGGCCGAUACUGACGCUCAUGCACGAAAGCGUGGGUAGCAAACAGG